rnacentral:lncRNA from 1 species
UUCUUGCCUCUGUUUUCUUUUUCCUUUUUUAGUUUCAAAAUCAUUCCCUUUUUUUCAAACACCGACCCUUGGGUUUCUUAGCCUCCAGUGCACCGCCGCCGCAGCCAUGAAGACCGGUGGCCGACGACGGAGGAAAAGAGGUGAAAGACCUCGGCCUUAGAAUACCCCGAGGGCUGAACCCUUCAACCUUAAACAAGAAAAGAGGAAGAUUCUCAGCACCCUCUAGAUCCGGCGGUCGCAAAGGAGGAGAACCCUCCGUGAGCCGGAUCCCGGCGCUUCCUCGGUAAGUCCCCUCUCCCCUUUUUAUUUUCACGUUUUCUUUAUAAAAAUUUCGUAAAAAAAUGCGUAGAUAAAUAAAUGAAAUAAAUAAAUGAUAGAUGAUAAGAAACGGAAAUCAGAAAAACUAAAGAAAACAAUCAGAUUUCUAUCAACCUUUUAGAAUCUCAGUUCUGUAUUUCUUGAUUCACUGAUGUGUGUUCGUAAAAAAAACAACGGUGAGAUUCGGGCUUUUAUAGCCGAAUCAAAAUGAUUUUUUCUUCUUUAUUAUCUGUUAACUAUUAUUAUUGCUCGCGUGCUUCCUUUUUGCCAUUAUAUUUAAUUUUCGCAGGUGUCAGACGCGUGGAUGACCGGUGGUAGGCGAGCCUUGGGCGGUGGCGGCGUGUGAGGAGCUGGAGCGGCGUACCUGGCAGAGGUGUGCAUGCGGCUAGGGCUAGGUUUUUUUUUUUGCUGAAACAAAUUUUAAUUUACUGGGCUUUGGGCUGUAAUUUUUGAGUUAUUUUCAUUUGUUUUGGGUCUUUAGGCCUAGGUCAAAAUUGACCUGUUACAAUUAACAUAAAUAUGGGAUUUUCAAAUUGAUUUGAUUAUUCUAAUUUAAGUAAUUUGCGGGCAUUGGCAAAAUAUGUAAACCAAGCCCUUCAUAUGAACUCAAUAUGGUUUUCAUCGUUGGUUGAUAGUUUCAUUUCGUGACGUGAUAGUCGACAAUCGAGCUGAGGUUUCUUCUUUGCUUUAACAUAUAGACGGGGAGGCUUAUUUUAAGUAAUGAGAGUCCUUUUUUCUGUCAUAGAAUGAUAGAUUGUUACCUGCCUUCGAGGCUGUCUUGUUAUGGGCUUAGCUCCUCAACUACUUUCUCCACUUGUUUGUAAUUGGGUUUGUGGUCUUUAUGACCUUUGUUGUAAUCCUAUCUUUCUGUAGUAUGAAUAUUUGAUCUUUGAC